rnacentral:rRNA from 1 species
UACAGGGGGGGCAAGCGUUGUUCGGAAUUACUGGGCGUAAAGGGCUCGUAGGCGGCCAACUAAGUCAGACGUGAAAUCCCUCGGCUUAACCGGGGAACUGCAUCUGAUACUGGAAGGCUUGAGAUUGGGAGAGGGAUGCGGAAUUCCAGGUGUAGCGGUGAAAUGCGUAGAUAUCUGGAGGAACACCGGUGGCGAAGGCGGCAUCCUGGACCAACACUGACGCUGAGGAGCGAAAGCCAGGGGAGCAAACGGG